UACGGAGGUGCGAGCGUUGUCCGGAAUCACUGGGCGUAAAGGGCGCGUAGGCGGCUUGUCACGCGUGCGGUGAAAGUCCGGGGCUCAACCCUGGAUCGGCCGUGCGGACGGGCAGGCUUGAGCACAGUAGGAGGCGGGUGGAAUUCCGGGUGUAGCGGAUGGAAUGCGUAGAGAUCCGGAAGAACACCAGUGGCGAAGGCGGCCCGCUGGGCGUGUGGCUGACGCUGAGGCGCGACAGCGUGGGGAGCAAACAGG
rnacentral:rRNA from 1 species